UGACUCUAUUCUGGCACAGUGAAGAGACAUGAGAGGUGUAGAAUAAGUGGGAGGCCCCCUUGCAGGGAUGAGUCAGGAGACCCCCUUGCAGGGAUGAGUCAGGACAGUGCUAGGUGGGGAGUUUGACUGGGGCAGUACCUCUGUCAAACAGUAAUGCAGGUGUCCUAAAGUGAGCUAAGGGAGGACAGAAACAUCCCAUGGAGCAGAAGGGCAAAACUUACUUGAUCUUAAUUUUCAGUAUGAAUACAGUCUGAAUAGAUGCAAGUCUGAAA
rfam:Macaca mulatta chromosome 4, whole genome shotgun sequence.